rnacentral:lncRNA from 1 species
UCUCUUCUCAUUAAUUAGUUGUCACAUCAUAUUUUUUUGCUUAAGUGGCAUCUAUAUUACUACCUAUGUUACUUCCAUUGUGGGUAGUCUUAGAGCAUCUCAACCAGCGGCGCUAAAAACGCGCAUGAGCGGUAAACUGGGUUUUUAGCGAGUGCGGGACGAAAACGCGCGCUCUAGUGGACGCCGGAAAUUAGCGCCCGCUGCAAACAAUUGCGCGCACGCGGGAGAAAGCGGGCGGUCGCGCGCUAGAUUUGGCGCAUCGCUUCGGGCGCGCCUAUAAAUUGCGGCGCUCACCACGCGGCUUCCCAUCGCCCUCCCCACUGCCACGCGCGCUCUGCCGCUUCCUCGCCGCUUCCUCUACCGCACCGCCACCAAAGAGCCCCCAUCGAGCCACCAUGUCGCUGCGCCGCCGUGGAUCUUUGGGCUACACAGGCGUCCGCGCGCGCCCCUCCGGCGUCUACUACGCCGAGAUCCGGUCCGGCGACGUCCGCCUCGGCCNAUGAACUUCCACGACGUCUACACGCGCGAGCAGGCGCAGGCCGUCGCCCCUCCGCCUUGUCUGAUAACAGACCAGGACCGUGAGGACCAUCGUCGGCGGCAGCGCCGCCUCCUCAUCGCUGAGGAGGAUGAGCGAUCCAUGGCGUAGUGGCGCCGGCGCCACCCAGAGGACGUCGCCGUCGAAAACGCCUUCUGGGCGGAGAGGACAACAAGGUGCCGCGAGGAGCGGGAUGACAGGCGUCGGCGCAAGUCACUGGCCUUAUCGCAACGCAAGGUCGUCAACAACAAUGGAACGUCGUUCUUCGGGAGUGACGAUGAACGUUGGAAUGAUAUUUGACUCGAUACCUCGGACACCGAGGAUGAUGAUGAUGAGGAGCAGGAGGACACGAAGUAGGUUCUAGUAGUUACACCAUAGUUUUUAUCUAGUUGCAUCGUAGUUUUUUAUCUAUCUAUGCAAUGUAUCAUUUUAUCUAUGUAUUGUGAAAUAUCUAUGUAUCGUUUUAUCUAUCUAUCUAUGAAAUAUCUAUGUAUAUCUGUGUAUUAUGCGAGAGCGCGCGCGUUGCAUUUUAGCGCGCUUGCUAGAGACCCGAUUGGACCGGCCCAAGUCAGCGACCAGUAGCGAAUCUGGAGACCACAAAAAAAGUUAGCGACCAGCAGUUGAAAAAUCUGAAACAUUUCAGUAAAAAUAUCAGAAUAUAUUUUUAAAAUUCCGGAACAUUUUUUUAAAUUUCGGAACAUUUUUUCAAAUCCAGAACAUUUUUGAAUUCUGGAACAUUUUUUAUAAUUCCUAAACAUUUUCAAAUUCUGGAAUAUUUUUUAAAUUUCAAAAAAAAAUUCAAAUUCCGAAACAUUUUCUCAAAUUCCGGAACAUUUUCAAUUUUUCAAACCUUUUUUCAAAUUUCGGAACUUAUUUUUUGAAAAAUUCAAAACAUUUUAAUAAAAAUAUGAAACCAUUUUUUUAAAUUCCAGAACAUUUUUCAAAUUUUGGAACAUUUUUUAAAAUCCUAGAACUUUUUUCAAAUCCAGAACAUUUUUUUGAAUUCUUGAACAUUUUUUUAAUUCUGGGACAUUUUCAAAUUUCAAAACAUUUUUCAAAUUGAGAAACAGUUUUUUAAAUUUCAGAAUAUUUUUGGAUAAUCCAGAACAUUUUAAAAACAGAAACAGAAAAGAAAGAAAAAAAACCGGUUUAGGGAAUUUUCUAAAAAGUUUCCAAAACCCAAAAAACCGUCUGAUAACCUUUAAAAGGUUUUCGAAACCGAAGGUGUUGAACAUGUAAAUGGACCGGCCCAUUUAUGAAUACCCGUGUGCGAAGCCUCGACAUUUCGACAGAGAAUGCGACGAAUAAGGAUUUCCCUCCCUUCCCACCAAAUCCGCGUGGCCCUCCGACGUCGGUUCAUCUCCGACCACGACUGGAAAAAGUUCGAACCGCCACCACACGCACCGACUCCUUCCUGGAAACCCAUCGCCGCCACCAGCUCCAUGCCCUCUGUAAAUACCACACGAGCCCCCAAUGGUUUCCCCGCAUCGUAGGGUUUGAUUGAUUGACUUCUCCUCUCCGUUCCACCUCCCGUCGUCGGGUAAGCGCAAGUACGGUGUUCGUAAUCGGUUCCGAUCUCGCGCUCCCUUUUCGCUAUUCUUCGUCUGAUUGUAUUCCAGGCUAGGGUUCUGUCUUGGUCGAGGUGCUCCUCCCGUCGAUGUCGAGGUCUAGCUAGUCCCGGUGUUUUCUCCUCGUCUGUUCCGUUGAUAUUGGUAUCGUGUUCUGAACCUUGCUGCUUUGGUUUAGGGUCGAGGCUAAUCUACUUUGAUUUGACUUCUGAUCUGAUUUAGGGAUCUAUCAUGCUCUGGUUGCGAUGUGAUUUAGGGUCGCGUCUUAUCCUUUAUAUUAUUAUCAUGGUCAUGAUUGCUUAUUGGAUUUAAGGUUGUGAUGAGAAAUGGAGAUUAUAUUUGGCGUGAAUAACGAGGUCUGUCGGUAUAGAUACGUGGAGGUGGAGCAGUUUGUUUUGUUUCAUUUCUGUUUGUUCUGGAAUCUGGAGGAUUGGUCUGGUCGGUUUAGUUGGUUCCGUGGAGAUGUUUGACAUGAUCCGAAUGAGAGAUUGAAGGUUGUGGUUUCAUUUUGGCUUGGUCAGUUCAAGGUGUUUAUAUUUUUGUGGCGAAAAACAACGGGUUGGAGACAGUUCACAGUCAAAAUUCUGCUGUUAUUUUUGCUUUUGAUCCCGUUCCUUCAUACUUGGUCAGACUCAAUAAAAAUUGGAGGAAGUUGGAAAAAGGUUUGCUAGGUCUAUUUGGAUAUAUUUGCUUUCGCCUAUCAGCCUAUACACGUCAGAUUAUAUGGAAAGGAUUGUGCUAUAUUACCAUGUUAUAAACUGUGUUGACAUGUUCAUGGCGGAGGUGAUUCUUCAGUGGCUAUGUUUUGGUGUCAACUUUGGUUUGUUUCAUUUCAAGAUUCAUAGGAAAAUCGGAGGUGCUUGUUUUGUUUGCGUUCUAGAUUUAAUUUCUCAGGAAGCACCUUAAAUGAACAUGGAAGUUUGCUUUUGAAGUGAUCUGUUUGAAGGUUGUUUCAACUACAGUGAAGAUGCUCUUGGUUUGUCUCUGCAGAAUUACUUCACUGUUGCUGUGUUUUUCUUUGGUGGUAUGUCAAGGUGUAUUCAGAUGCUGGUUACUGUGUUGGAAUCUACCAAUCCUUCUGAUCACUAGUUUGUGUGUAUGAUUUUCUAAACGGAUAUUUGGUUGGGCUUCAGCUGGUUUCAUGUUCUGUCCGGUGUUGGAUUAGUCUUAGGUUGGUAAUUCGUAUUCUUAUUGUAAUCUGCAGCCAUGUUUUGUUAAUUAGUAUGUUCUAAUGCAAUUUAUGCUGUACACAAUUGUCAAUUAUGCAUCUGGUCUGAUGUUGCGAACUGUAACUGAUGUAAUUGUUGAAUGAUAUGUAUGGAUGCCUUAAUUUAGCCUUUCGUCGUCUGUCCAGUGUUGGAUUAGUCUUAGGUUGGUAAUUAGUAUUCUUAUUGUAAUCUGCAGCCAUGUUUUGUUAAUUAGUAUGUUCUAAUGCAAUUUAUGCUGUACACCAUUGUCAAUUAUGCAUCUGGUCUGAUGUUGCGAACUGUAACUGAUGUAAUUGUUGAAUGAUAUAUAUGGAUGCCUUAAUUUAGCCCUUCGUCGUCGCUUGGUUGGGUGUAUAAAAGCUAUAACCAAAUAGCAACUGAAUUUCAUAGCUUGAUGUUCUUACUCCCUGCAUAAGUUACAUUUUUAUUCAUUUUGCUUGGUUGGGGUGUAUAAUAGUUGUAACCAAAUAGCAACUGAAUUUCAUAGCUUGAUGUUCUUCCUCCCUGCAUAAGUUACAUUUUUAUUCAUUGUUAUCUGUUAAAAUUGAAUGGAGAUUGUUGUGAGCAUCCUGUUUUUCUAGUUGCCAUGAUCUCAAUUUAGUAAUGUUGACUAUUGACCUAACAUUCUGAACUUUGCUCCGUUAUCCUUUGUUAUGUUGUCCGUUCAUCCGUUUGGUCAGUUUAACUGUGAAAUAUGAUGGUUGUAUUUUCUUAUUCUGUCCUAUAAGUAUGCCCAAGAUUCAUUAUUAUCAC